ACAGCCAGUUCAAACUGGCUCUGCUAGAGACAAGAUGGGCUGGGACCCUCUCCCGUAAGCCUCACUUCGGGAGGAAGAGGCCAGACCUCAUAGAUCCACGGGAGGACGCUCGAUGCCAGCCGGAGAGGAGGAGGAAAGAGCCCCAUGGGAAGGAAAGGACUGUAAACAGGGAAGUACCAGUCCCACCUCCCAGGUAGGUAGGCAGAGGAGACGAGCGUAGAGAACCUGGGGAGAGGUUGCCCUCUGCCGGUGAACCUAUAACACCAGCUCGCGGUGGAAGAGCGCGGAGAUACUUGUGCAAAGAACAGCCCCACUAAAUUGUAACAUCUUGGAGGCGGGACAUCACAAAAAAGGGGGGUGGGGCACGGGUCUAGGUGAGGUUGGGCCUCUUGGGCUCACGGAAGAAUCCGGUCACGCUGAGAUGGGUCGUCAGACUGAGCCUGACGCCACCGUACGGUCCAUUCACCGGCCUCCGCCUCUGAGUUCAUGGUCCCGGCACCUUCGCCCGCUCCGGCCUCCGCUGGCUUGACUCCAGGGACCAGCCGCACCCCCAGAGUCUGCUUCUGAGCCUGACCUACAGCAUGGAGCAGCCUGGAACGUGGACUGAGACAUACCUGUGGAAGUGUAGUGAAUGGAAAUGCUGACGGAGAUGAUUACGAUGCCGUCCAGUGCCGGGGCAAACACAGGGAUGGUUUCUGCACAGCGUAAUACCUUCAGAGGAGAGGGACACAUUUUCCCCGCAUUGAAUGGGGUGAGUUAUUUCACUGUCGGCCAACUCUGGUAUGUAUUUUCUGUGUACCGACUUGUAUUUUGAGUGGCAGUCCUUGGGUUCUUUUCCUUCUUGCUCCAUAUCCUGCAGCCAGCUGUCUGCACAUCCACUUACCCAUCCCUGCUCAAGCUGACUCUGGUCCAGGAAGGUGGGCUUCACCUGGCACUUGAACCCCAGCCUGCAGGCUCUUUGAGGGCAGCAGCUGGAUCUUAUUCAUCACCGGGGCCCAGAAAACUGUGGUACAUCUACACGAUGGAAUACUAUGCUGCUGUAAAAA